rnacentral:rRNA from 1 species
GACGAACGCUGGCGGCGUGCUUAACACAUGCAAGUCGAACGGAAAGGCCCUGCUUUUGUGGGGUGCUCGAGUGGCGAACGGGUGAGUAACACGUGAGUAACCUGCCCUUGACUUUGGGAUAACUUCAGGAAACUGGGGCUAAUACCGGAUAGGAGCUCCUGCUGCAUGGUGGGGGUUGGAACGUUUCGGCGGUUGGGGAUGGACUCGCGGCUUAUCAGCUUGUUGGUGGGGUAGUGGCUUACCAAGGCUUUGACGGGUAGCCGGCCUGAGAGGGUGACCGGCCACAUUGGGACUGAGAGACGGCGCAGACGCCAACGGGAGGCAGCAGGCGGGAAUAUUGCACAAUGAGCGGAAGCCGGAGGCAGCAGCGCCGCGUGCGGGAUGACGGCCUGCGGGGUGUAAACCGCUGUCGCCUGUGACGAAGCGGGAGUGACGGUAAUGGAUAAAGAAGCACCGGCUAACUACGUG